rnacentral:misc_RNA from 1 species
GAUGAAGAACGCAGCGAAAUGCGAUACUUGGUGUGAAUUGCAGAAUCCCGUGAACCAUCGAGUCUUUGAACGCAAGUUGCGCCCGAAGCCAUCAGGUUGAGGGCACGUCUGCCUGGGCGUCACAUAUCGUUGCCCAAUGCCUAUUGCAGUGCAAUAGGAAUUUCUAGGGCGAAUGAUGGCUUCCCGUGAGCGUUGUUGCCUCGCAGUUGGUUGAAAAUCGAGUCCUUGGUAGGGUGUGCCAUGGUAGAUGGUGGUCGAGUUAGAACGAUACCGAUCAUGUGCAUGCUCCCCAAAAUAUGGCCUCUAUGACCCACACGCGUCUUUUGACGCUCAUGACGAGACCUCAGGUCAGGCGGGGCUACCCGCUGAAUUUAAGCAUAUCAAUAAGCGGAGGA